GCAACAUGUGGAGAUAUUUUAUGACUGUAAAUGAAAAUGCUGGAGAAGAGAUGGAAGGCAUGUCAGCACCUAAAGCCACAGGGGACCACAACAAGCUGUAGAGUUCAGCUUUCGGGCUUUCAGAUCGUUUGUUUGCAGGGUUGGAAAAUAGGCAGCAUAGUGGCUCAGACCUGACAGGAGGAAUGGAGGAGCUUUUGCUACCCUAGCCUCUUCCUGUGUGACCUCGGCAUGUGAGAAGUCCUGUGUUUAAAUCCCAGAUGACCAAAUCCCACGCUGUCAUAACAGCAUGUGCUGUUUUGCACAACAUCUGCCUCGGUGCUGGUGAUAUUGUGGCCCGGAGGAUGAUGUUCAAGAUGAGGGGGAGAUUGGUUCAGAGGCAGUCAGUGGUGCUCUCUGGUGGGACCAGCUAUCUGCUGAGGUGUCUGCCCUGGAGGAGGUACCCCUGGACCAAAAUGAUUGUCAGCAAGCAGACAUUUUAGUGACAUGGCAGCCGUCAGUUACAUCAGUCCUGCAAACCCAAGAGAUAGAUGAUGUGGUGAACCGUGGAAACAAGCAUCCCUAAACAAGUUCUGCAGAUCACCCUGUAUGAUGCUCAACUUAGAAGCUAGAAAGGCAAAUCAUUUCACUUAUGGUGUCUCCUUCACCUCUUUGGUCCUGGUCCAGCAGAUUCCACUGCCCGAGACUUCCUGCUCAGCCAAAUAUCAGGGCUGGUUAAAAGUGUGCAUACUGGGACACUCAGCCUAAUCCUGGACUUUAAUAAUAACUCUUAAUAACUAAUACUCCUGUUGUGUUUUUUUCCACUGUUGUUAUUUUCUCAAUUUGGACAAUUUAAUAAAUCAGUUGCAAAUAAACAGUUAUGUUGUACAUAGUUUGAGAAAAUGAUUCAAAUACAGUUGAAGUGU